ACAAGUCUUAUAAACAGAGUAAGCCAAUGUGAUGAUGAAAAUGCUCUCUCUCUCUCUCUCUCUCUCUCUCUCUCUCUCUCUCUCUCUCUUUCCCAGUGUGAAGGGUUGAAGGGGGAGCUUGCGGAACUUCAGGGGCUGUUUGACUGCAGCCAGAAGGAGAGGGCGGAGCUGGAGCAGGAACUGCAUCACUGCAGGGUGGAGCUAGAGAGGCUGGGCGGCAGGAAGUCACAGAACUGCACUCCUCCGUCUGAGCCCCCUGUUCUCUCCAUCUCCUUCAUAGGAAUGAUUGUAAUAAUGGCCCUGAUAUGGUGCUGGUGGGAGGAGCUGGCAUCCUAGAGGGGACCAGGUAUGGGCAUGCCCUUUCUUUAUCUAGAAGAAUCAUAUAUAGUCAACUCUUAUUUCCUCUAAGAGAGGCUGAAUGUCUGUUGUAGAUGCAGAUUAUUCAGCCUCUGGCUGUGGGUGUGCCUGAAUGUAGAAUACUGCACACACAGAUAUACUGUAGAAAGCGAAUGUAUAGCGCCAGUACGUCUGGUUUGGUUAAUGGUUAAAUGUUAUUAGAGUUCGUAGUUCAAAGUUCUGACAGUGAUCUGAUCUGUUUUGGAAGGGUACCUUAUUCCACUGACAUAAAGACUCUGAUUCAAGCAUAAGCGUGUGCUGGAAAGACCAGCUAUUGCAGUGGAAUAGACCAAUGUCUUACAAUGUAAGUUGUCCCUCUGAGAAUCACGUUUCCCUUGAUCUGUCAAUCAAACUAAAUCUGUUUGAGGAACGCAACCUCUAUGGUGAACAAUAAACAUCCAAAGCCACAUUAACACCAAAUGGGCUAGAACCAAAAUGUCAAUAGAGGGUGGCGAAAAUACUUUACAGAUGUCAGCGACUUGGCUCCCGUUGGGGUAAACUGGCUCAAAAUGUACCGUGUGGUCUGCUUUGUUCCUCUGAAGGUGGGCCGUCAACCUUAGAGUUAGCGGAGUCACUGAGGCAGAUGGUCCAAUAACUCAGUCCCACCCAGCAGUCUCCAAAUGCACCAUUCACUGUGUUUACUAUGACUCUACUGAAUGGAAUGACUCCGAUUCUAAGAAUACUAAGAACUUGGCUUGGAACAGCCAAGCAGCCGCCACACUUGAAAAGCUGCGAGUAAGAGAGAAAUGAAAAGGAGAGAGAAGAAAGAGACUUUCACACUUGCUCGCCUGUUCCGCUGAUGUUUUCGUCCGAGAAAGGUGGCUUUUUUUUGAGUGGUCCGUCACACUUAUCCGAGGGAAACACAGUGACACUUUCAUGUCUCCAUUGGGACUGUGCAGAGAUUACCACUAGAGCCAAGAUGGAUGACACAGCGCUAAUGUCAACACCCACUGCUCCUGCCUGACCUCCACAGGCGGGACAGCAGCCAGGAAGCCAGGGAACUGAGGUUUAGAGAAACCUUCUCUCCCUCCAACCUCCAGCCAGCUGAAUGCUGUGUUGUGGUCAGCCUGCAGUGAGGCAUAGCCCUUUCUCCAUCCCUCUCUCUCUUGCAUGGCCCCUGACAGAUUUAGCUGAAAGGGGUCUUGGAACAUUUAGAAUGAGGUAUGGCUAUUUACCUUGGGACAUUUAGAAUGAGUUAUGUCUAUUUACCUUGGAACAUUUAGAAUGAGGUAUGGCUAUUUACCUUGGGACAUUUAGAAUGAGGUUUGGCUAUUUACCUUGGGACAUUUAGAAUGAGGUUUGGCUAUUUACCUUGGGACAUUUAGAAUGAGGUUUGGCUAUUUACCUUGGGACAUUUAGAAUGAGGUUUGGCUAUUUACCUUGGGACAUUUAGAAUGAGGUUUGGCUAUUUACCUUGGAACAUUUAGAAUGAGGUUUGGCUAUUUACCUUGGGACAUUUAGAAUGAGGUUUGGCUAUUUACCUUGGAACAUUUAGAAUGAGGUUUGGCUAUUUACCUUGGGACAUUUAGAAUGAGGUAUGGUUAUUUACCUUGGGACAUUUAGCCUGAGUUGGAGUGUUUGUCUUUUAUUGUAGUGAGUAGUAAGGGUUCAGAAACUUUAAUGAGAGUGUCA
rnacentral:lncRNA from 13 species